rnacentral:rRNA from 1 species
UACAGAGGUCUCAAGCGUUGUUCGGAUUCAUUGGGCGUAAAGGGUGCGUAGGUGGUGGGGUAAGUCGGAUGUGAAAUCCCGGGGCUCAACCCCGAAACUGCACUUGAUACUGCCUUGCUAGAGUACUGGAGAGGAGAUUGGAAUUUACGGUGUAGCAGUGAAAUGCGUAGAUAUCGUAAGGAAGACCAGUGGCGAAGGCGAAUCUCUGGACAGUUACUGACACUGAGGCACGAAGGCCAGGGGAGCAAACGGG